UUACGGCCAUAUCACGUUGAAACAUCAUUUUUCGUGCGAUCACCGAAGUUAAGAAACGUCAAGACUGGCCAGUACUUAGAUGAGUGAUCGCUUGGGAGCGCCAGUCGCUGUAAG